rnacentral:RNase_P_RNA from 1 species
CGGGUUACACGACCGCGGGGACGGAGAGAAACCGUCAAUGAGGAAAGUCCGAGCGUUACAGGAACAGGGUGCCGGAGAAAUCCCGGUGAAGGCGACUUUAAGGAAAGUGCGACAGAAAAUAACCGCCCGCUUUUGCGGGUAAGGGUGAAAAGGCGGGGUAAAAGCCCACCGCGCCCGCGGUAACGCGGGCGGUCAACGUAAACCCCACUCGACGCAAGAUUGACAAACCGUUUUAUGGGAGUUCCGCCGAAACGGUUUAAUAAAAUAUCGCUGGGGGAUAACGGUAACGUUAUUCGUAGAUAAAUGGUCGUGCGCGACAGAACUCGGCUUACAGACCCGCUUA